rnacentral:rRNA from 1 species
CCCCAGACUCCUACGGGAGGCAGCAGUCGGGAAUAUUGCGCAAUGGAGGAAACUCUGACGCAGUGACGCCGCGUAUAGGAAGAAGGUUUUCGGAUUGUAAACUAUUGUCGUUAGGGAAGAAAAAAAGACAGUACCUAAGGAGGAAGCUCCGGCUAACUACGUGCCAGCAGCCGCGGUAAUACGUAGGGAGCGAGCGUUAUCCGGAUUUAUUGGGUGUAAAGGGUGCGUAGACGGGUAUACAAGUUGGUUGUGAAAUCCCUCGGCUUAACUGAGGAACUGCAACCAAAAUUGUAUAUCUUGAGUACAGGAGAGGUAAGUGGAAUUCCUAGUGUAGCGGUGAAAUGCGUAGAUAUUAGGGGGAACACCAGUGGCGAAGGCGGUCUGCUGGACAGCAACUGACGCUGAGGCGCGAAAGCGUGGGGAGCAAACAGGAUUAGAUACCCGAGUA